ACACGUGAAGAGGGCAUACCUGUGGACACAGAGCCGCUGGGUGGAUUAUAGCGAAAACUGGCACCCAGUAAGUUAGAUUGUUAAAGAUGGCAUUAAUCUCUGUUGGUGGUGUAAGUAUUCCCAGACAAUUCCCUGUGCUGGAGAAUCCUUUUAAUCUACUGUGGAAGCAUUCCAAAACACCAUGAGAGACUUCUGAAGACUUCCCUGUGUCAGAAACGCCAGUGGUGAUGACCGUCAAGCACAUGGUAAGGCUUGGGAAAAAAAAUAUGGUUGGGCUUCCCCAGUAUGCUCAGGGGGUCUCCGGGUUUCACGAUGAAAGCCUGUGAAAUUGUCACGCUGGCAUUAUCUGGGUAUGUUUUGUUGCUGUAAUGUAGGUUUUAAACCCUCCAGACUUUUCAGAAAGCUGCUGCAGCUGCUUACACUGAAGUGCAACAUAACCUUGCAGCUGGUAAGGGGCCUGCCAAUAUUUCUACCUUGUUCUAUACACAGAUUGCUGCUGCAUUACCAUUGAACGCAUCUCCAGAGCUCAUGUCCAGCUACUUGGUGUAAACACUUCCUCUGAAUCCUGCAGCCUUGAAGUAGUUU